rnacentral:rRNA from 1 species
UACGUAGGGUGCGAGCGUUGUCCGGAAUUAUUGGGCGUAAAGGGCUCGUAGGCGGUUUGUCGCGUCGGGAGUGAAAACACCGGGCUUAACUCGGUGCUUGCUUUCGAUACGGGCAGACUAGAGGUAUGCAGGGGAGAACGGAAUUCCGUGGUGUAGCGGUGAAAUGCGCAGAUAUCAGGAGGAACACCGGUGGCGAAGGCGGUUCUCUGGGCAUUACCUGACGCUGAGGAGCGAAAGUGUGGGGAGCGAACAG